CUUUUACAAAUGUAGGUAUUGGGGCGUAAAUAACUUUCUAUU
rnacentral:tRNA from 1 species